rnacentral:rRNA from 1 species
UACGUAGGGGGCAAGCGUUAUCCGGAUUUACUGGGUGUAAAGGGAGCGUAGACGGCAGGGCAAGUCCGAUGUGAAAACCCGGGGCUCAACCGCGGGAUUGCAUUGGAAACUGCUCAGCUCGAGUACUGGAGGGGUAAGCGGAAUUCCUAGUGUAGCGGUGAAAUGCGUAGAUAUUAGGAGGAACACGGGCGGCGAAGGCGGCUUACUGGACAGUAACUGACGUUGAGGCUCGAAAGCGUGGGGAGCAAACAGGAUUAGAUACCCCGGUAGUCCCUGAGCGGGCUGGCAA